rnacentral:rRNA from 1 species
CCUACGGGGGGCAGCAGUGGGGAAUAUUGCACAAUGGGGGAAACCCUGAUGCAGCCAUGCCGCGUGUGUGAAGAAGGCCUUCGGGUUGUAAAGCACUUUCAGCGAGGAGGAAAGGGUGUAAGUUAAUACCUUACAUCUGUGACGUUACUCGCAGAAGAAGCACCGGCUAACUCCGUGCCAGCAGCCGCGGUAAUACGGAGGGUGCAAGCGUUAAUCGGAAUUACUGGGCGUAAAGCGUACGUAGGCGGCCUAUUAAGCAAGAUGUGAAAGCCCCGGGCUCAACCUGGGAAUGGCAUUUUGAACUGGUAGGCUCGAGUUCUGAAGAGGGUGGUAGAAUUCCAGGUGUAGCGGUGAAAUGCGUAGAGAUCUGGAGGAAUACCGGUGGCGAAGGCGGCCCCCUGGACAAAGACUGACGCUCAGGCACGAAAGCGUGGGGAGCAAACAGGAUUAGAUACCCCUGUAGUC